rnacentral:tRNA from 1 species
GCCUGGGUGGCUCAGUCAGUUAAGCGUCUGACUUCAGCUCAGGUCGUGAGCUCACGGUCCGUGGGUUCGAGCCCCGCGUCGGGCU